rnacentral:lncRNA from 1 species
UAUUCCAUUUGAAUAUAAGGAAAAGGCAAUUGCUCUGGCAGAAAUGCAUCCAAAAUGGAGUAUUAAAACUCUGCAAAGGAAAGGCUGCAGCCAUUUAAAAAGUAAGAGAAUGCUGCGUGUGUGGAAAGAAGACAUGAUGCAAGGCAGAACAGUGAUAGAUAAAUGGAACUACAUCGAAAUGCAGACCUUCCAAAACUUCCAAGAAGCUAGAGAGUGUCUUGAGCAGAUACAAUUUUAUAAAAUAUGCAUAUUACAGAAUUAGAGAUUUAUCGAAUAUACAUUAGCAUUUGUUUUCAGGUCAC